rnacentral:tRNA from 1 species
UCCGAUAUGGUCUAGUGGCUAGGAUUUGCCGCUCUCAUCGAGCUUCCCGAGCUUGAGCAGCACCGGCAAGGCCCGGGUUCAAUUCCCGGUGUCGGAA